GCCUUGGCGCCCUUGGCCGCGGGGGCAAUGUUUUUGUUUUCGUUCUACGUUCAGGUGUUAAGUGGCGACGUAUUAACCGUCGAUAACCAGCUGAAGCAGCUCAAGUUCUCUAGUGGAACGAGGUUGACCGUGCGCAGUGGCAGCCGUUGACAACAAAAACAAUGUAUGCACUCAGCUUCGCCGGAUGAGUGCCGGCGUCGAUCGCGAACCGCCAGAGCCGCCAAAUACCUCUCGUACAUCUCCAAGAACACCAAGAACAGGAGGUAUUCAUAAAGGUCUGAACCACGCGAGGAUCGUCUCGAAGCAUGGUAGCCUCAACAGACGCUUGCCGCCACACGCGAGGAGAAAGCAGGAGGCCCGAAGUUUGAAUGUGAAGAGGAGGUGCGAAGAGCUGGCCCUCACUUUUUCAAGGCAGCCGCAGAACACUACGAGCCCCGAAUCACUGCCACGGCUGACUCACGCGGAUGCUGUGCUGCACCCUGCACUGCACAUGGUUCGAAGCACACUUCAGGGGACCAGUGCAUGCCCCUGAUGCAUCGUCGCGGUAUGUUUUGUACUGCUUUUCCUAGCGGUGCACUGAGCAGUCCAAUCUUGAAGGGAGCACGCGAGUGCGUAGCCAGUGCUCCAUGCAGCAAGGACCGCAAGCACCCGCGGAAGCUUGGAGCACACGCAGUGACACCAGCAGCCGUGCACGCUGGCGUCGUCUGCUACUGUACCGUCCUUUCGUUCGGUGCGCAGAAAAAAAAAGGAGUGACCGCUCUGUUAAAAGUCUGAUGGUGAAGGCAUCCUUUACAGAAGCACUGUAUGGCUCUCUGCACGCUAGAAUGGGGGCUGUCGUUGAUGCUCGCAGAGGCGUCGCCCACAACUAAGCAGACGAUCAAAGUCCUGAGCAGGUGACUAAUCGUUUCAUUGUUCUUUGGUAGGGAAAGGUAGAUAAUGUGCUUCUACUCCCAGCUUUGUUUUUUUUUUUUUGUUUUUAUCACCAUUUAGUAUGUUACCAUCAAAACAGCAUCCUGGUGUUCACAUAAAUAUGUGUUAACAAUACCUAUCGUCAAAUAUGUGACUCAAAGAGCCAACUGCGGCCGAGGAUAUCUUUUAAGUGUUCUUUUUCUCACAAAGAUCCCUGGCAUUGACUUUUUAGCCACGUACCUUGAGUCCAGAAAAACAAUGUGCUUCAGCUAAAUGGUAUUCACACAAAAUACAUCCUGACAAGCUGCUUUCACUCUCGAGCCUCGAAGAAAUUUUGCAGUUUGAUUUGAACUAUGUUGCAGGUUAAGGAGGUAGGGUCAGGGAAAAGAAGGUGGGAGAGCAGGAAGCGGGCACAAUGCUGGUCAAACCCUCUCCCUUCGCCGGCGUUGCAUCCAUCUCGUCCUCUCCCACCUUCCUUUUUUUUCCCCUACCUUCUUGAGUUGUCACCGACCAUAUAAAAGGCAUGCAUUGAUAUCACUUGUUCGUUUUGUGGCCAUGGCGCCAGCAAGGUUUGAGAAACGUAUCCUGCUUCACAGGAAUUCAGCACUCAACAUGGAGAAACUAUUGGCAGUGCUGCUGUAAUGUCUUUGUCCUCGUCUUUUGCAGCCAUCUAAAAAAGAGAAAUAUAAUACUAGGAACACAGAGCAACGUCACGCGCCAGUACAUAGUGUACUACGAAGGGCAGGUAAAUUGACUGCGGAACACGAUUUUCUCAAUGUCCUCACGGUUCUUUCGGCCAAGUACAUACAGAUAAGACGAUUAUUAUUAGAAAUGUUGAACGCCAAUCCGAAAUGUUUUUUGGCGGUGUGCCGAGCAAAAGGACAUUGCUGCAACAGAAAACAUGUGCCAUCCUCCGCCUUUGGUGCUUCUGUGUCUGCGCCGAGCUUCCGCAGCCACCAACAGUCAACGCUGCAUGGACUGCCCGCCAUGCUUUCAUGCGUUCCAUGUAUGAUUGGCACGGCAUGUGGAUGUAUCAUGCAAGUGACAUCAGCGCUGUUGGCAGUGCCAUGCUGGUGGUGGUUGAGCUUUGCUAGACUCUGACCAUUGACAAGCUGUUUUAUGCAAUAAUCGCUCUUGGAAGUCCCCAAACUGUUUUUAGCAAUUCAAGUGUCAGAUUUUUUUUUAGCUAUGGUUAUACAGGUUUUCUUUUUUAACAUUUACAGAUUUCAAAGAAAAAGUGAAAGUUAUGACAGUUAUAAGUUAUACGGCCAGGCGGACAUUAGAUUCAUGGAAGAAUGCAGCUAAAAGUCCGUGUAGAUCAUGUGUAUCAUGCUUCUCUACAGUGCAGCUACAUACUUGCGUAGGACAACCCCCAUGAAGUGGGGUGGGGGGGCUGCAUGCGUGUGUUGGGUAGCCCCUCUUGGUUUUACAACUCUACCCUGUUGUAAAAUUUUAGAUUUUAAUGCGAACAAGUUGAUAACAAAAAAGAACUUGGUCAACAUUGAUCUUACAACUAGAGAUGUAAAAGGAACAAAAAUAGAGAACAGCAAAAUGUGGAAGAAGACAUCUCGCUUCUUUCAUUUUCAUUUGACUAAGUGACAUUGGUCGGCGACUGUAAGACUUUUAAUCACAAUAGUUAUACACCACAGGUCCCGGGGAUCAUGGCAUCGAUGAGCUCGCUUUCGCCUUGUCCAAGGUAGCAGCGGAACACUACGGGCAGGCCCGGAGUCACCGCACCGGCUGGCUCACGGGCGUCGUCCUGUACUCUGCACGGCACUGCGUGUGGCUUAACCGGCCAAGCAGAGGGUCACUGCAUGACCUUUAUGAGGCGUCGCUAGCCAUUGUAAGUAUAUUUUGGACGCUCGUGUCAGGGGAUGUACUUUUGUGUUCUACAACAGAACAUGUUUGGUGGCGGUUCAGUCUUGCCAAUUCAGCCAUUUCGAAACAUAAUUUUGUGGCGACUCGGCUUAGGUUUUCUGGCUCGGCCGUCUUUUGCACCAGUGUCUAGGCUCGGCGUAAGCCUCUUUGUUCUUUAUUGUCAAGGCUAGUGUAAUUUCUGCUACGCCGUCGAAGCAACUUCUGCAUGCGAACAAGAUGCAAGACGAAGCUACAUGCUCGUGCACAGUGCAUGACCACAUGUGAAAACUAAUAGCGAGUUUGUUUCGCUGCACUCGUGCGUAUGCGCACCCACUCGCAACAUGAAGUGAGUUUGUUUCGCCGCCGGCACUCCACACGUGCAUGCGCUCGCUGCACCCUGAGAAUUAAGUGUGUACCUGAAUGCACUCCCGUCAUGCAUCACUUAGGCAGGGAACAAGAGCAGAUGACUGGUUUGUCCACCAUGCGGGACAGUAGAACUGCAGAAAAAGUGAACUUUCUGCUAAAAAAAUGACGUCCCACGAGCAACAAAAUCGGACACGAGCUUGAAUUGUGUGUCUGCUAUUCUAUAAAGCAAGCAAUCCACAACCUGUGCUUAACUUGCAAGUUUUCAGUCAUUUUGUUGCCGUACAGACGUCCAAAUACACCGGUGGAUAAAGAAAGGUUCAGAACGAACAUCAGCCACCGCGAGAUAUCUCUCACCAUCCGUGCGGGGCUAAAGAGUUGGGACGUUAGUUGACAAAGCUUGCCCGGCAGAAACCUGCGACGCGUCCAAUCGGGAGCCGAGAAAGCUAAACUGUUUUUACCCGAGGCUUGGAUAAAAUCACAGUGUUUAAAAAGGAGCCAUGGAAUUUAUUUUGGGUGGGAUAAAUUAAUUUAGAUUCGUAUUUUGCUAAUACAGUUGAACCUUUCAAGAACGAAAUUCUCGCGGCAACGAAGAAAUCUGGCGGGCCCCAGCGAACGUCCAUAGGGUUCAAUGCAUUUGCACCCUCUCAACAGCAAAGAGUUUUAAAAAACAGUCCCGCAUUAACGAAAGUUUGAGGUAGUGAUCUGCCAUAGAGUUAUUCAAUGUGUCUACCAAGUUGGCAUUUUCAAAUUCCCUGAGUUUUUCAGGUUUCCUCUGAGUACUUUUGUGAAAUUCCCUGAGUGACACAGAACUUUGUUUUAGGUCAAGAUGGGCGGACACCAUGUCGCCAGAUGCUGUCACUCUCUAAAAAGCAUGUCAUAAAAUAAAAUAACAACACAAUACAGUUUUGAUGAUAGCGAGUAACUUUUAUUAGAUUUAAAAAGAAAACAGAACGAAGUGGUUAGUAAAAUUGAUAGCGAAUAAAGUAUAAAAAAAGGUAAACUGAGGUUUACGUGACCCCCCCAGGUCUGGUCAUGUGACCUCGGGGGGGGGGGGGGGGUGUCGAGACCUGAAGGCGACGCCGCUCAAGCCGGAAACGGGAGCAAUAACGGGGAAAGGAAAGGGUAAACAAACAUAAGGCGUUCAAAGUGCGAUUGCUCAACCCUUGUUGUCAAAACACUCCACCUAACAAAAUCUUUUUUUUUUUU